CAGAAACUCCUCACAGUUAGUGCGCACACCCGGAAGUAGCUGAAGUAGCUCUCGGCAGCUGGUGUGACUCCUGCCUGAAACAUGAUGCUAACAGAUGAAACAGGAUGAUGGGGAAGUUUUGAGGUGCUCGUGAAUAUCAGAAGCAGUCCAUGCUUCUUUGACAGAGUCCGUCUCACCUGCAGCUGAGCCCGCCUGCCCCUCCUCCCCUCACCUGCUUCAUCAUGCCGCUGAUCGUGGACGCUGUGUGGGCGAUUUGGAGCAUCGGCGCUGGCAUCUACGACUACUUCCACACCAGUGCCAUGGAGGAGAGGAUCGACACGCUGGAGAACGUCCUCUCCAUCCACCAGUUUGUGAUCGCCGGCUUGUCGGCAGGCCUCAUCCUCCUCAUGACCUACAUACUGUGGAGAAAACACUGAAAACCGCCACUCGGGGCCGAGCACCAAAUACAUAUCCAUUUGUGGCAGGAUGUCUGAUACCUGGGGAGGUUUCCCAUCUCAUGAAAGCUCAACGGACAGUUUGGAUUAUCUGUCUGCUGACGGGCAACCAAAACAGAGUAUGAUAGACUCCUUCAACGUGCAGUUUCUUGCUGCACUGGGUGCUUGGCCUGUCUAUCCAUUUGUCUGUCUGUCUCUGUUUGGGUGUUAAAUAGGCUUGAGUAAUACUUUUACAAAACCAUAGCGGCUUCCGAAGGCAACUUUGCACUUUUACAUUUUUGGCAGAGCUUUAACAACCUCAUUGCGUAGAGAAACACUCAUUCGUUUGACAUUUCCCCCUCGUUUGAUAAGGGAUGAAGAGUCUUUUUUUUCCCUGUAAUCACAUGAGGACAGCGUAAUUACCUCUCGGGUCAUCAGUGGUUUUCUCAUGUUUACAAAUUAACCUUAUUUUUCAUACAAUAUCUGUUUUAUUUGUAUGUAUCAGAAUCUCUAAGGUCAUUAUUUGGGAACCCAGAAGGAACUAUGUGUUUGUCCUUACGUUAGAACUUCUGUUAUCAUCAUCAUGACUGUAUUUUCUGUCUGUUUAGAUAACAAACGUUGGUAUUUGCCUCUUUAUGCUGAAGCUGAGAUGAACAGUCCUAAACUGAGAAACUUAUCAUCCAAUAAUCAGCUAGGUAUUUGUGAUUGUGUUAUGCAAAGGAUCAGAUUAAAAGAACACAGGAAAAACACAACUGUUAACUCUGAUCUCAGAUUUUAAAGGGUAAUUUAACACUUAUGAAUCUCAGAUUUCUUCCUAUUACUGAAAGGGCAGCCUCUGUUGAAUUUUGGGUGUUUUCCACCGCCAAUAUGCCAAAAUGCAAUGGUGCAUAUUUUGUAGAAAGUAUGGCAUCAUUACCUUUCAUCAACAUGCCCUUUCUGUGUUAAAUCAGUUGCCUCGCAGCAACUUUUGAGGACUUUAAAAGGAGACGUGAAAGUGAUGAACAACUCAAGGCAGUCAGUCUGGAGGCUGUUAAGGGAGCUUUUUAACUGUCACAGUAAGAGACCCAAUCAGAAUAUUAGAUUUUACUUCCUGUAAAAUACAGUUUUUAUAUUAGCAAAGCAAAACAUGAUAAUUAAGUUGUGAUCCUGAGAAAGCAGUCCUGAAGAUGUGAUCAAAAAAGAUGAACACUCUUUCCAGGGGGAUUAUUUUCCACUCAUGUAUCUCUUGAUCAUCACCUCUGUCCGACUAUAAUGCAAAGAGGUUGUCAGCAUGUGGCUCCCCCUGAGAAAGGCGUGUUUGAGGUUCGCUGAGGCUGCUAACUUUGGCUGAUCUCUGAUGAGCACAAAACACUUGGUACUUAUAAAGUCAGAAAACAGGGAGUAAUUCAGUCUUCAGGUGUUUGUUUCUCAUGCUGCGCAGAAGGGAUUGAAGAUGGAGGUUACUGUAUUUAUUUAGUGUCGUCUCUUGUCUCUGAAAAAGGUGUGUGUUGUUUAAUUUUAAAAAUGUGUUUACAGUCUGGUAACUAACUCUACUCUAGGUUCUCUAACAAAUUGAUGACAAGAAUGGUUGAAUGAUUUAGUCAAAUGUGGGUCAGGUUGGGAAUCAUUGUGUGUACUGUCUGCUCUACUGUAUGUUACUCUGAAAAACCACUACCAUGGCUUAUAAUAAAGGGAAUAUGUUUGACUA